rnacentral:lncRNA from 1 species
UGGUAAAUUUUAUGAUUUUUUUUUCUCUAAUUGUGAUUUGAUUUGAUUUUCGUUUUCUACUUUAUUGAUUUCUAUUAUUUUUUUCGAUUUUUGGUUUUGAGAAAGCCCAAUGAUGGAAAAUCUAUGUAUAUUGAGCGGCUGUGAUGGUUAUAGAUUCAUCCGUUGCCUUUAUGCAUCACCUGAAUAUCAGCGGCAACCGCCAUUCUUUCUCCCUUUCCUUGUCUCCUUCAACAUCACACACUAAAGCACACUUGCACUUUUGCCGCUGAUGUUUAUGGUGAUGUAUGAAAGGCUUCUGAUGAGUUCCAUCACGAUUUAGCUGUCUGUGAUUUUGAAGCUAUGAGAUCUGAGGGCUCUUUUACAGUUUUAUUUCUCUCAAAUAUUCAGUACAGAUACAAUCCCCUUUGUGGGUGUAUAAAUUUGCAUAACCACUAAUUAUUUGUAAUUGCUUGUGUUUUGUAUAAUUAAUGUGAAUUUUUAAAAUAGGGUUCGAGUGAUUUUAAAUGUCUUACAGUUCAUAAACUAAUGAAAUCAAGUUUAUCUGACAUAUAAUGAGCAAAUUACAAAAAAUUUAUUCAAUAAUUAUUAUAUUUAAAUUAUAAUUUUGUUAUUUGACUACUCUUCCAUAAAGCAUAGGAAGAUUUUGCGCACACGACAACGAGAAAAAACUGAUUAUGAUUAAAAAAAUGUUUUGUAUAUUGAAUGGUGUAAAUAAUAUUUAUUAAAUUACGGGUUAUCUCAAACCUUAUAUGAAAUAAUAAAAAAAAAAUCGAUGAUUGAUAUUUUAAAAAACUAAAAGCAUUACUGGAAUCACUCUCUGUCUGCACCUUUUGGUAGCCAUUGGUUUUGCAUCACGACGUUCCAAAGAGUAACGCUGCCGCAACAAGUAGUUUUAAUAGUGAUUCCCAUUUUUGCUACUCUAGCAUCAGUUGGGAGCCUAUCUUAACUCAUCCCAAAAUUUUUUAUGAAACAGAGAGAACGAUGAGCAAGAAGAAAGAAUUUUAAUUUUUUGGAUUGUUACACUAGGAUUUUGAAUUCUUGAUAAUAAUUUUGAAUGGAAUAACGUAUUUUGUGAAAUUUUAAUUUAAUUUUCAGUUUUUCUCCUUAAUUAGUGGAACAAAUAGAUACUAUAAGAUUAUAAAUUGAUUUUAAUGUUUUUUUUCUCUUAAUAAGUGCAAUACUAUAAGAUUAUAAAUUGAUUUUAUACUUUUUUUCUCUUAAUAAGUGCAACAGAGAUAGAAAGUAAUUUAGAAUUUACACUAUGGUAUUUAUGUAAUGUAUACUUGAUAUUUUAUGAGUCACGUCGGGCUAGUCCAUUUUUGGUGUGGACUUAAAAAUAGUCGGUUCAACCUACAAACAUGUGGGCUAGGCUGGAUGGGCCAAACUAUUUUUAAAAAAUUAUAUAUUUUUUAAUUUUAAUCUAAAUUACAAAUUAUAAUUUAAAAAUAUUAUCAUAAAUAUCAAUAAAAUAAUAUCACACGAUGUUAAUGUUACUACUUUUUAAUCAAAUUCACGAAUAAAAUUGUCUUUAUAAAAAUAUUUGUUAAGGUAAGUUACCAUUUUAAAAAGGGAAAAAUGGUCUGAUAUACCCCUCAACUUUGUCAUUUAGAGCUGAUAUACCCCUUGUUAUGAAAGUGACUCAUAUAUACCCCUACUUGUAAACACAUGGCUCUCAUAUACCCUUUUCCUCUAACGGAAAUGAAAAAAAUAAUAAUUUUAAUCUAAAUUUUUAUUAUUUUUUUCUAAAAAAUAUAAUCCCAUAUGAGUAAAUUUAAUCCUCGUCAAACAUAUUUUUUUUUGACUUUUUUUUGUUUCAGUGACUAAUUUAUAAUUAUUAUUUUGAUAAUCAAAUUUAUUUAUGUUUCACUAAUUAAAACUUAUUGUAGAUGACCAAAUUUUUUCUUCGAAUAUAAAAUUAAAUUACAAUACACACAUAAAAAAAUAGUUUAACUUUUUAUUCUUUAAACUAAGGAAUGAAAGAAAAAAGACAAAAUAAGAAUAAGAAAUUCAAAUAAUUAUAAUAAAAGAAGUCAAAAAAUAAUUUAUAUAUGAAAAAAAUUAAAAUAUACCUUGAACUUUGAUAGAAGAAUCAUAUAAACCCCUAAAUAAUUUUUUUAAAAAAAUUAGAAGUAAUAAAUAUAAAUUUAAAACUAAUUUUUUAACUUCCAUUAAAUGAAGGGUAUAUGUGAGCCAUUUUGUAACGGCAGGGGUAUAUGUGAGCCGUUUGUAUAACGGUAAGGGCAUAUAUGAGCCACUUUUAUAACGAGGGGUAUAUCAGCUCCAAAUGACAAAGUUGAGGGGUAUAUCAGACCCUUUUCCCUUUUAAAAAGGGAAAAAUUAUACGGAUAAGCAAACUUAUAUUAUCUAAUUACUCAUCACAGCUAUAGUUUGCUAUAAUUACCACUCGCGACUAACAUUAUACAUUAAUUACGUGGGCUAACUUCGAAUUUGUAUAAUUAGUCAUUUUUGUAUAUGUAUAAUUUCUCAGAAUAUACAAAUAAAUAUGCAUAAUAUACAAGUUUUUAGUCUAUACACAUAUAUAAUUCACCGCUCUCCCACACUCUACCCUCUCUCGCUUGCCUCUCUCCUCUCUCUCCUAGUCACGCUUGCCUCUCUCCUCCCUUUCGCAAUCUCUCUUGCCAUAUAUACAAUUACAUAUGUAUAAUAUACAAUUAUCUAACAAAUAUACAUAUAUAAUUAACCUUUCUCCCACUCUUUUCCCCCUCUCUCUCGUCUCUCUCCUCUCUCUUCCAGUCUCACUCGCCUCUCUCCUCUAAAUAACAUGUAUCUAUAAAUUGUAAUUAUCAAAUUAUAACUAUGAAGAGUAAAUUAUUAUUUUUUUAAGUGGCUAUAUGUGAAAGUUUCCCAUUAAAAAAAUUUAUUAAGUUUUUUUUAAGUAUGAAUAGUUAUAUAGAAAUAUUAACCUAAUUGUUUUGAGUUUAAACUCUCUUUAAUUUUAGGGCAACUUUCACAUAUAGCAAAUAAAAAAUUUAUAUUUGUAUGUUAUAGCAAAAUUUGCAUAAUUGCGCUCCAUAGCAAACAUAGAAAUUGUAUAAUUCGCUAUACAAAUACAGUUGAAGCAAAUUGUAUAAAACGAAGUGUAUAAAACAAGAAAGAGAAGAACACUUUGGCAGAGAACUGUAUAAAAACAAAGUGUAUUAUCAUAAGUGUAUAGAACAGUUAUAUACAAUUUGAAUUUGUAUAAAAUGAGAAAGAGAGAAAGACAAAACAGACUUGACAAGGAAUAUACAAUUGAAUCGAAUUGUAUAAAACAAGAAAGAGAGAAAUUAGAUACAAUUUGAAAAUUGUAUAAAACAAGAAAGAGAGCAAGCAAAAGAAACUGGACAGAGAAGUAUUUUAUUGUAUAAUUAUAAGUGUAUAGGACGAAAAUAUAUGUACUUGCAUGUGUAUAUACAAUUUUCUCGCGCUUUAUACAAACAGAAAACGCAAUUUAUACAUUUCUCUUCUGUUUGUAUAAGUGAGAAAGGCGAGGGUGGCGAGCGAGAUUUGGGAGAGUGGCGACCGAGAUCUAGAAGAGGGGAGAGAGGGGAACAAAAAUAUAUGUAUUUAUACAAUUUUCUCUGCUUUAUACAAUUAGAAACAAUUUUUAUACGCUUGUGUUUUGUAUAAAAAGUGAGGAAGCGAGCGGAGAUUGGAGGAGAAUGUCGAGAGAUAUUUGGGAGAGAGGCCAUGACAAUUUUCUGCAAACGUUUGCUAUGGAGCACAAUUAAAUCAAACCCUAGCUACUCCAUUUAUUUUAGGUUAUUAGUUUGUUAUUAUAUAUAAUUUUUCCUUAAUUUUAUUAUAUUUUUCAAUUAAAUUUUAUUGGCCCACGAUCCGGCCCUACCGAUAUUUCUCAAGCCUCUCAAAUCAACAGACUUAUUCAAGACGGGCUAAAAAGCCUUUUUCUUAAAUGGGUUCCAAAAAUCUUAGCCCAGCAUUACUAAAUUUCGGGUCAGGCCGGCCCAACGGUCCUAGCCCAUAUUGACGGCUCUACAGAGGCUGAUAGGUCUAAGCUCUGAGAGGUGCUGUGGAAAACUCACCUUGAGAAUAAGAACAAUAUUUGAGUGAGUGAACCUUAUAGGCAAGGUAGAUCCACAAAAGUAAGCAUUCAUGGUUUGAGUGAUAUCAGGGCCAAUAAUCGACCAACAACUUGGAAAAAAUUUAGCACUGAAUCCAUCCGGUCCUGGGGCGCUAUCUGGAUCCAAAGAGAAAACGGUUUCUUUGAUCUCUUUGUUAGUAGGAAACGCAGUCGACAACCUAUUGGUGUCAUCUAUAAUAGAGGCUUCAAUGAAAUUCAGUUAUGAGAAAUCAUUCCUAUCAGGAUUCUGGCAAAAAAUGCCUUGAAAGUAUUUCACAGCUGCUUCAGCUACCCCCUUGUUUCCUUUUACCCAUUGCCAAUGUUCAUCUUGGAUCUUGUUGAUUUGAAGUCUUCUUCUUUUGUCUUUCAAACAUUAUGAAAAUAAGAGUUGGUGUCACCCUCAGUAAACUACUUGACUUUUGCCUUUUGUCUCAUGAUAGAAUCUUGAAUUUUAAGAUACUUGCUGUGAUUAGCCUUAUGUGAUGUUCCGCCACAAUUCCAGCCUGAUUUGGCGUCCGAAUAUGAGCAGAAGGAUCUAGAGUUGUGAAGAGGUUUGCAGAGAACUCUAGAACCUUCUAGAUUUCUGGAGAAGACUAGAGAAUUCUCUAGAAUACUUUAGAUACUUUUGAAAGAGAUUAGCAUAUUCUAGAAAGUGUAGAAUUCUCUAGAAUAUGGACUAAAAUGUAAAUAUUUUAGGGACUUGUAGAGUAAUUUUUAUUUACACUUAGACCCUUAGGAGGUAGUAUAAAUAGAAGGGCCUCUCAUUUGUAAAUGCAUCCAACCAAAACAAAAUUGUAAGCAAGUUUUCCAAGUAUAAUACAAGUCUUCUUCCAAAGUUCUUUCUAAGUCAUUCUUUACAUUCUCUUAAUGAUCUAAGUCUUAAAGUCUUACUUGAGCUUACAAGAUCGUGAAAUAUUCGUGAGUAAGUUGUCAAGUGCCGCACGGAGUCUUAGCAAAUACUCUAAGUCCGUGACACUUAACCUUUUUCAAAUUGGUUCUAUUGGUAUCAUUAGUCCCCGCUAGAUUGACUUGUUCAAGAUCCACAAUGUCCUUUUCAAGCUUUUUGGUCUCGUUAUAGAUAUUACCAUAAACUUCUCUAGACCAGUUGCUCAACCUCGAGGCUGUAGUUUUGAGCUUUUGGUGUAUGCUCCACAUUUUGGAUUACCUUGAACCUCAAGUAGGCAAGCUUCCUUGACAACGUCCAGGAAUAACUCAUGUUUUGUCCAGACAUUAAGAAAUUUGAAAUAUUUCUUAUGCUCGUCUUCUUUGUCAUUAAGUUUGAUCAAAAGUGGAACAUGAUGUGAGCAAACCCUUGCCAAGUGAGUGACUGAUGUUUUUCCAAACCAAGAAGCAUUGUAUAACAUCCUGUCCAGCUUUUUCAAACUGUAUUGGGAGCCCCUCUAUUAUUGCUCCAAGUGAAUUUAGCCGCAUCCUGGAUCCCCGAAUCAAUCAUACAGUUGAGGAAGUCAAAACUUUUCCCAAUUUCUAUAAGGAAUGCCGCCUUCUUUUUCAUUAACAGAACCAAUAACAUUAAAGUCACCAACUGCUGUCCAAGGACCUUGGAUUAUUGAGGAUAGAGUUGACUUCAGAGAUCUUUUCUUAGAGUGUCUUCGCACUUAGCAUAAAUAGUAGCAAUGUGGAUCACAUUACCAUUAGGGAGGACAAUUUUGCAAGUUAGUUCAAAAGAUCCAAAUUUUAUUAUUGCUGCUCACUUGUUUUACAUUUUCCAAAUCACAGAUGUAAAAUAAAACCAUAACAGUUGUAUAAAUAUUUAACUAUUGAAAGACAAAUUAAUUCUUGCAUAAUAUUUUCUUAAUUAAUGUUUAUUCAUUUUUUAAUUGACUCACCUAUUAAAAAAAUAAUUAUUGACAUAAUAAGUUAAUUAUGAAGUGAAUAAAUCAAAAUUUUAAGAUUUUAAAAAAGUUUUAUCUUUUUUAAAACAAUUAAUUAAGAGUAUGAUAAGUAAACAAAAUUGUUCUUUCUUGAUUUAUCAAAAUGAACAAGUAAUUUGAAAUAAUUAUCUAUUUUUGGUGUGGAUUAAAAAAUGAUUGGUCCAGGGCUGGCUUGUCGAGCCAACCCACCUUUUAAAAAUAUAUUUUUUAGGACAAAAAAAUAUGCGGUUAAGCAAACUUAUAUUACUUAAUUACUCAUCAUAAUUAUAGUUUGUUAUAAUUAUCGCUCGCGACUAACAUUAUAUAUUAAUUAUGUGGACUGACAUUGAGUUUGUAUAAUCAGCCACAUCAAUCUAUAUUAUAAUUCGACGGAAUAUAUAAAUAUAUAUGUAUAAUAUACAAUUGUCUAAUAUAUAUAUAUAUAUAUAUAUAUAUAUAUAUAUAUAUAGACACACACAAUUCACCUCUCUCUCGCUCUUUCAAUCUCACUCGCCUCUCUCCUCUCUCUCCCAACCUCGCUUGUUUUUUUUUAUACAAAUGCAUAUGUAUAAUACACAUAUUAAUUCACCCCUCUCCCACUGUCAGCCCUCUCUUGCUUGCGUCUCUCCCAAUCUCGCUCGCCUCCCAAUCUCGCUCUCCGCUCUUCUCUAUCCUCUCUCUCCCAAUCUCACUUGCCAUAUAUUCAAGUAGAUAUGUAUAAUAUACAAUUAUCUAACCAAUUUACAUAUAUAAAUCACUUCUCUCUCGCCUCUCUCCUCUCUAUCGCAGUCUCGUUCACCUCUCUAUUCCCUAUUAUACGUAGCCACGAAUUGAAAUUAUUAAACUAUAGCUAUGGAGGAUAAUUAAGCUAUUUUUAGUGGCUAUGUGAAAGUCCCUUUUUAUAAUUAUUAAAUUAAAAUAUAAAUUAUAAUAUAAAAAUAUUGUCAUAAAUAUCGACAAAACAAUUUACAUGAAGUUUUUUAUUAAGUUUUUUCUCAAGCAAAAGUAGAAAUAUAUAAAUAGAAAUAUUUUUUUUUAAUAAAUAGAAAUAUUAACUUAAUUAUUUUGAGUUUGAACUCUAAAAUUUAAUAUUAUAUUAUAUUUUUAAUUAAUUUUUAUUGACCUACGAGCCGACCCUACCGAUAUUUUUGAAGCGCCAUAAAUAGUAGGCUUACUCAGGCCAGGCUAGAAAAUGUUUUUUCUUAAAGGAAAUCUUACAUAAAUGUACAAUAAUAAGAAAAUAUUUACCAUUAUAACAAUUUUUUUCUUCACUUGAUCACUUUUAAUUCAUUUAUAAUACAAGUUUAACAUAUAUUACAAAGAUCAAUUUAUUAUCAUAUACAGUACAAGUUUUAAUGAUGGAUAAUACAUUUAUCACACAUUUUAAUACAAUUAUUAUACAAUGUGUCAAAUUUUUACCAAACAAACAUAAUAUAUUUUGAAAAACAAUUAUGAUUCAUCUAUAUUGCAUAAAUAAUUCACUUUUAAUAGAUUUUGUAGAUAUAACAUAGUAUUGCUAUAAAUGGUAAUAAAUAAAAAGUAUCGCUAAAAUCAUUAAUUAUUUAUUAAAAUGUGUCAAUCGAUGUAAUUUUUCCUUUUUUAAAUGAGUUCCAAAGAUAUUAUUUCAGCCCUAUUAAAUUUUGGGUUAGGUCAGGCCGAUCCAAGAGACAUAAUCCAUAUUGACGACUCUAAAUAGAAGUAUUAUUUUUUUCUCUAAUUAUAUAAAAUUAUGCGUAAUAUAAUGCGAAAAAAUAUAAUAAUUUUAAACAUAAAUCAACUAUAAUUAUAUAGAAAUAAAAAAUAAAAUAAAAUAUAACCAAACUUAUUAGAUAUGCUAAAUAAUUAAUAACAGUUAUAUUGAUGAACAUGAUAUUCUAGUGUUGGCAAAAAUAAUUUUUUGUUUCUACUAGUAUUUUCAAAUAACAGAUUUGUUUUGCUUCACUCAACAACAAAAGUAAAACCAAUACCGUUUCCAUUUAAAUAAAAGGGCAACUUUCAUAUAUAGCAAAUAUAAAAUUCAUAUUUGUAUGUUUUAAUAAAGUUUGCAUAAUUUCGUUUCGUAGCAAACAUAUAAAAGUAUAAUUCGCUAUACAUAUACAGUCGAAACGAAUUGUAUAAAACGAAUUAGAGAUAAACUAUAUACAAUUUGAAUUUGUAUAAAACGAAAAAGAGAGAAAGACAAAAGAAGCUGGGCAGGGGAGUGUUUUUAUUGUAGAAUUAUAAGUGUAUAGGACGAAAAUAUAUAUAUUUACAUAUAUAUUUGCAUGUAUAAAUAUAUAUGCACACAAUUUUCUCUCAAGUUAUACAAACAGAAAUGCAAUUUAUACAUUUCGUUUCUGUUUGUAUAAGUAAGAGAGGCGAGGGUGGCGAGCGAGAUCUGAGAGAGGAACAAAAAUAUAUGUAUUUAUAAAAUUUUCUUUCGAUUUAUACAAAUACAAACACAUUUUACACAUUCGUAUUUGUAUAAAAAGUAACAGAGGCGAGCGAUACUGUCACUAAAAAAGAGUGGCGAACAAGAUUCCACCAAAGAGAGUGUCAAAAAUAGCUAUAUUUUGCUGUAAGGUAUAAGUAAAUCAAAAUACUUAAUUUAAAUUAAUAAUUUAUUAUUAUAUACAAUUCUCACUAAAUAAAGUCACUUAUAUUAAUUUGCGAAAAUACAUUAUUUUCAACAAAAAUACUUUUUUGAAAAAUACGUGUCUCCGCAAUCCCAAACAGGGUUUGUUGAUGUUUGGGGUCAGGGACUUGACGAAGAGCUUCAACAAAAGUUUGAAGUUGAAGCAGAGAAACUGACAAGUAAUGUUGGAGUUGAAGGCAAAGUUUUUGAAGAAAGCAGUGAUUUCUUCCACUCUAAUUGAGCAUCCAUCCCCUGCCAAUCUUCAGUCUACUCGUCUUGCCAUUCAUGUCCGUUAAUUCCCUUUUCUCAAAAUUCAGUUUUUUAUUUUGUGCAUACCCAAUUCAAUCUAACUGUUUCUCCUUUUUUUUUUUUGAGAGCAGAUGAAUGAUGAUAAUGAUUCUUCUUGUUGGGUUUACAUUGCAUCUGGCUGCCGCAUUUAUAAAGUUCUUGUAAGUCCUUUCCAUAAUGUCUUUGUACACGUAUAUAAUGAUGUAUUAUUAUUCAGUCUAGUCCUUUUGCUUUGUCUAUUGAAUUCCAGUAAGCUUAAUUGAGUUGCAAUCAUUCUAAGUGAUUGUGAUUUCAACACUCAUGUCUGAGAUGUCCUCCACACCUAUUUGCGCUUCUUGUUCGGGAGGUAAAUUACAAGCUAAUGGACGAUUCAGAAUUUUCACUAAGGGGCUCAAAAAAUAAAAAUAUAGUGCUUUGAGAUUUCAGUUCGGAACCUAAAAGAUUGAAUUUUGAAACUCCCUAAACAACUAAGCCAGCCUGUAGUCUUGUGUGCAAGGGAUUCCAAGUCUAUAUAUACACUAAAAAAAGAACUUUAUAUACAUAAGUGUAAUAUUUGUCAAGGGUAUUCAGAUGAACACCUUGCCCCCUCCUAGAUCAGACCAUGGCUAUAAAGAGACAGAGAGAUAGAUUGAGGUUGAGGGGAGGAGCUGAAUAAGCUGCUUUGUUAUACCACUUUGUUCUUUGUACUUAUCUGGUCUAUAUAUGAUGAUAAGUUCAUAUUGACUUCACAAACAUGCUUGAAGGCUAUUAGUUGCAUAAACCUAAAUGUGUUGAUAAACAUGUUGGAUUAAGAAGCAACGGAUGUUCAAUUUGUUUUCAUUUUCACUGUACAGAUUCCAAUGGAAAAUUCAUUGCUCAAUCUAGGAAAGGAGGACCUUCUAAUUCCUGAACAAUGUGAGGUACACUUGCCAUUUCUUAUAUCAUGAUGAAAGAUGUUAAGUGUGAAGUAGCUUACUAGUAUUGUUAAUUUGAAGGUUCUAGAAGCUUCAGUGGUCAAUCGUUGCCCGCAUCGAUCAGAAAUCCAAAGUAUAGUGCUAGCUGAAACUGAAAGUAAGAUAUGAAGAUAUUUACCUUUUGAAUUUUUGCAGCCCUUCGCGAUAUUCUGAAAAGCUUGUUGUUAUUAUUUCCUUAUUCUGAAUUAUCUUUUUAAUUAAUAAGAGAGGGAAAGAUAACAUAGAAAUAGUGACAGAGAAGAGGAAAUUUUGGAAAGAAAGACAAAUAGCCUGCUAUAUCAUCAUAUCAUUAAAUCGUAAAUCUUUUGUCGUAUCUUUUUUUAUAUAAGUUGGCAUUGCAUCAUGCGUAUGGUCCUGUAUAUUGAAGGGCUUUCUACCACUUCUUCAAGAACUUGCUGCUAUUGUUCCUACUAACUUCCCUAGUUUUUAGCUGCUCGGUCCUUAUUGCUACUACUGUCCAUUAGUUUGCAUGUAGUUUCUUUUAUGUAUUUGAAGUAGCUAAUCUUUACCUUUCAACAGCUUAAUGAUCUGUCUAGUUCUCUACAGGCUCUGGUUGCUCAAUGCUGGGAAGCGUGGAUUCUUAUGGUCACCUUAUUGUCUCUAGAUUGGAUGCCAAUGGUGACGGUAUCUCUCCUAUUUAUUUCUCAGUACUUAGCUGAACAGUGAUGGAUUCUGUUAAAAAUUAGCAUAAUUUUGGAGUUGAAAUUUUGGUUUACCUCUGUUAAACCUAUUUUUUUUCCAUUUAUAUAGGCGUAAUGCCACAGUUAGUUAAUAACUAAAUUUACCAAUUAUGGGGUCUGAUGUGCUCAUUUAAUAGUUUGGUUUUGCUACUUACAAUUUCACGAAGUAUCUUCAGUAAAGAUGCUAUAUUUAAAUUACUAUUACCUGGCAUAUAAGUGAAAUAGUGUACCAACUUGAUUUGAGAAACUUAUGAUCUUGCUAAUUUGAGUAGAUCUAAGAAAAAUUGUUAUUGACAUGGACCACCCAUGACUUUUACCGAUGAGUUAUUCCCACAUUUACUCUAGCAUGAUAUUUAGGUUACAGCUUGAUGAAUUCCUCAUAUUCUAGAUGUCAACGGGCUUACGUAUUCUGUCUCUCCUCGAGAUUGUGGUGUUGGAGAAGGUAGCUGGGCAGGCCUGUGCUUCAAUCCCACUCAACGAUCCAUGGUAUUUCAUCUCAUAUGUCUCCUAGGUUGGAGUCUGUAAUCAUUAAUGUUGAUGCUUCACAUCUGCAGCUUCUGCCUGUUCACUUUGAAGCAAGUAAUUGUGCCCGUGGGUGCAAAAUAGAGGCAGUUGGUGUGGAGGCGAGGCCUUGUCCUUGUCAGCUGACUAGUUUGCAAUCUAUUUCUUGUUGUGUAUUUACUAUCGUGCUUCAAUGUAUCUUGUGUCCUUUGCCUGAGAUUCUUCCAGAUACACUAGUCUGCGUUUUUUUGACCUCUACCGUUUACUAAGAAAUUUGAAAUGAUGGUAUUGGCUAGCACCCGAAUAUCCUCAUCUCUGAAUGUGCCAGUGCCUGUUUUUAUUUUUUUUGCUCCGUGUGAACUGGCUUACUAAGCUACACAACUUGUUGGUCAGUAUACCUGAUUAAAACAAUGGGUUAUUCUGGUAUUAUAUUGGCUAUUCAAAUGAACUUUAAUGCACCUUCUUUUUUUCCCUGAAACUUGUGAGUUGUGACAGUAACUCUAAGCACUUUUAAGUUGAUGAUUUGAACCUUAAAGGAAAAUGAGACGGUUGAUUUUUUUCUUCUGCACAAUCAUUUUUUUCCCUUUUUAACAUCCUCUCUGCGCGCGCGCGUGUCUUGGAAAGUGUAAGUGUUUCAUUUGUGGCAUAUUUCUUGCCUUCUGCCUGAAUUUCAGUAUUUCUGGCCUUUUCCCUCAGGCAGCUGUGGCUCACAGUUUCUCUAAAACCAUUGAUGUCUAUGACCAAGAUAUUCAUGUCCGCACCUUACGUCCGUAAGUGCUUAUCUUUGCUUCGGAGACGGUAGAUCAUUUACAGUAUAAUCUCAAGCUUUUCAUUUAUUUUUUGCUACUAUGCUUUCCAUUUUUGAGAUACUGUUUAUAUGUAUAGCAGCAAGUCACAAAAAAUCGUACAUCUAGUUCAUAUAUCCUUUCUAGACAGUCUGGACUGUUUUAUUCUCACUUGGAGGCAUUGCUAGACUACUACUACCAUGGAAGCUUUUCUGCUACUUUGGGCCUUUUAAGCAAUGUUGUUAAUAAAAAAGAAAACCAGUAAAACUAUUUCCUGAUGCUGAUUUAAGUACUCGUAACAGAUAUAAACAAAUCUGAAUAAUGGUUUCUGCAAACCUUCUUUUUGUGGAUUAAUUACUGUUUCCAUAAAGACAAUUUGACUGUUCUAUAUUUCUAGAGCUCUUAUAUGCAUGACUUGAGUCCUAAGUUUGCAUCUUUUCCUUUGUGUAGGGAUUUGUGUUGGCAUGUCUUUAGAUCUUAAUAUAUAAACCAAAGAACAAAAGAAAUCAAAAGAAAAUGCUUGGCAAUAGCUAUCGUGUAGAAGAAGGUCCACAAAAGUAUCUAAGAAACAAUUUAUAGAAUUGGUUGUACCUGGUUUUAUGAAAGAUUAUAAUUGACAUUUAUCUUUGAAAAGGGGGCGGGGGGUGGGCGGUUCAAUAAUCAAGGAUUCAAUCAUAAGCCUUCUAUUGUUGAAAACCAUCUCUUUGUUGCUCUGGUAUUAUUGAAAGCCAAAGAUUUAGUGUUAGAGGAAGAGAAUAUUCAAAAUGCUGAGGCACUACUGAAACUGUAAGAUCUAGCCAGGUUGGAAGAAAUAACUUGCGGCAGAAGUCUUGGUGCAUAUGGAUCCCACAAAGGUGAUAGGAACAUAUGGAUCAUUGAUUGAUGGAGGAUUGGCUGAAGAUCAGGAAGCCAUAAAAGAAGAGAUAUGAAGUAAUAAUCUAUUUAAAGAACCUGUCAAAUAGAGACUCUGCUUUGGACAGAAGAUAACCCCAAAUUUUACGAGGAAGAAGAGGACCGGUUCCAAAGAUUUCUAGUGAAUAGGCGGAGGACAAAGCAAUCAAAAUGUGAAGGUAGCUAAGCCCCUAGCCCUAAUGGUCUCACAAUGUCUUUUGACCAUAAUUGGCAGCCCAUAAUUAGGAGGCGCCUUCUGCAUGCAGUCCACAUACCUAAGAAUAAUGAGGUUGAAAAACUUGAGCACUUUAACAGUAGUAAUUCCAAAAAAAAUUAUUUAAAGAAGAGGAUUUUAAGCCUGUCAACCUAGUGGGGAGCUUCCACAAUUCAUCAUUAAGUUGCUUCAAAAUCUCAAAAAUGUUAUGAAGAAGCUCAUGGCUGAUACACAAACAACUUUCAUAAAAAGGGAGUCUAUAGAUUGUAUGCAUUACUGCCCAAAUCACAAAUGAAUGCUUAGAGAGAAGGAGGCAAGUAAAGCUGGGGUAAUCUAUAGAAAAAGGUUUCAAUCAUGUUAAUUGGAGUUCUCUGUUCUGAUAAGAGAAUGGUCUUCACUGAAACGGAUAAACUGCAUCAGUUAGUGCAUUUCUUUGUUAUAAUGAUAGUUGAUGAUAUUACUUUGAUACUAAAGUAAGCCAUGCACUUGACAUUGAUCUGUCACUUUUACAUUGAGAGAGGAAGUGUCAAUUGUUUUGGCCAUCUCUCACCUUACCUUAUAUAGGCUGAUGACAUUCUCAUAAUAUGUGAUACAGAUAAUAGACAGGUUGAGUAUAUAGAAAUCAUCCAUCAUUGGUUUUGGCCUUCUCUAGAUUUUAUAAUUUAUAGAAAACUGGAGAAAAGUUUCCUCUUUCCUGAAGUUCAGAAACUUGAGAACUGGCUGUCAAUUUGGGAAGUAAUAUUGGAUCUUUAUCUAACUAUGUACUUUAGCAUAUGCCUUUGGUGUGACCUUUAAAUGAGUGUACAUCUGUAGUGGAGUCAUUGAAAAUGUAAGGAAGAAGCUGUAAUUGAAAAAGGCAAUCCUUUUGUUAUGUGGGAGACUGACUUUAAUAAACAGUAUGAUGGAUGCUUCCCCAAACCAUGCAAUUAUCUUUAUUCCUAUGCCAGAAUGGAUAGAGGAAGACAGGGCUAGAAGAAAUUUCUUAUGGGAAGAGAACAAAAAGAAAAGUAGUUCUAUCUAGACAGUCUCCAUAUGAAAGCUAUAAUUUAUGUUGGUACCUAAGUUAGUGAGUAUGAGUUGGUUGUUCACAGGUUGCAGUAUGUAGAAGCUUUAUUAUCGUAGAUUGCAUUUUUAACACACGUGGUCUUUCAGAUAACAAAUAUUUAAUUUGUAAUAUUUUUUUUUUGGCUUAAAUAUAUUUGAGGAAUUUAUUCAAAGAAAAAAAAUCACAUUGCAGAUUGUGGCAUCCAUCUUCACUUAUGUUCAUGCAAAAUUUGGACUUAGGUGGUGGAAAUUCUGUAUUAGCAGUUGCAGAAGGUUGCCAGGUAAUGUUUCUAUGUUAUUUUGUUUCUUAUGUUAGAAUCAUGCAGAGAAUGUCUUGUUCUUUACUGAUUCUUUUCAUUCUCUGCACUCCAUACUGGCUUCAGCUGACAAUAUGGGACUUGCGAAUGAAAGAAAAGGGUGGUUGUGUGCGUCGAAUCUGUGGAUCUGUAGGAGAUAACUUGUAUGCAGUCUGUAAUUCUUCAAAAGGUACUAUUGCAGCUGGUGGAGCUGAUCGUACUGUGACUGUCUAUGAUCCUCGCAGGUAGUCUUCUCUUAAGGCUUUACUUUGCUUUUACUGGUUGUUCUAGUGUUUAUCUUACAGUGUGCUUGUGUACUUGAUCAAAUUUCAGAUAACCUGGAAUAUGCCAUGUUAAGUAAUUUGUUCUUGUUUGUUGUCUCAUACAUUUCUCGUCUUGUGUAUUCUUUUGAAAGGAAUAUUGCCAGUUAUAGCUCUAGGAUAUGUUCACGCUUAGAAAUUAUAUUGAAAACUGCAAUUUUCUCAGCUUUCUGUGUUUGCUUCAGAGUCCUGAUGGGUAACAUAGUUUCCGGCAGGUUUGGUUGGGUAAGAGGGUUGAUCUUUUUUUGCAACACACUGAUACAAUAUACAUUUCUAUUACAGAUGGUCAGCAGUGUCGAGAUGGCUAAACUGCUCUAAGUAUGAGGUUAAUCUUGUCCUCCCCCCUCUUACUCUCUCUCUCACUCACACACACACACACACAUAUACACACAUUUAUUUGUAUAUUAGUAGUUGUUUCUGUCAAUAAGGUAUCGAAGGAAUUUCUAAAAAGAAGUCCAGCCAAUAGUAUCCUUGUCUCAAGUGAGGCCACAAUUGAAGUUGUCUGGUCAAAAUUUUCUUUCAUCUCAUUUUUCGUUGCUUAAAUCUCAAGUAACAUUCUUUCUGGGUUCUUUUUCCAUAUCCUUGUUGUGCAUCUUUUCUUUCAUGAUUCUUUUAUUACACCUAUGCUUUGUGUUAUAAUUACUAAAAUGUCUCAUGCUGUUACAGAUAACUGGACUUGCUUUCUCUUCCGUUGAUCCUGAAUAUGUCUAUGUACAAGGCGUUGACUACGAGGUGACUAUUUCACAACUUACCUUUUAUAGUUUUCAUGAAUCUUAAAUAGAGAAUCUGAGUUUCAUCUUUACUCCAGCAUAUAUCCUCCCUUCCAUAAAACGUAGUACUCCAUAGAUCCAAGUCAUCCAACAUUGAUGUAAAAUUUCAGAACAGCUACUAGACGUUUACAUGAAUCUUAUAUAGAGAAUCUGAAUUUCAUCUUUACUCCAUCACAUAUCCCUCUUUCACUAAAACAUAGUAUUACCUAUAUCCAAACUUGACGUAAAACUUCAGCACAGUUACUAGACAUUCCUUGAAAGGAUGUUCAAACUCUUUUUUCGUUAUUCCAACUUGUAACCUCAUUUCCUUUAAACAUAGUUCUUCCUGUUAAAAUCCACAAUUGCUAUAUGCUUUUAACGUUGCAGACAACUCCUACCAAAGUUAGGUACUUUCCCUCUUUCUUUCUCUCCAGGACUCCGAAGUCAAUAUCUCCCCUUACAUGGUAGAUUACAUGUUCAUCUACUAUGAUUACAAUGUUAUUAGUAAAAGCAUAAAGCAAAAAGUAAAUUUCUGAAAAAGUAAAAGGACAAAGCAAACUGUUACAUGUGAUACCUGGUUCUUGCAAUUUAGUUGUUCCCUUCUGCAGAUUUUUUUCCCUUUUCAUCUUUAACAUUACCAUUCGCUAUUGCCAAUUUUGAAAACAUCAGUCUGAACAUAGAGACCCUCGGCGGUCUAUUACCCUCGGGUGUUAUCCAUUUUUUGUAAUUUUGAGGGCCAAAAUGACAAUGUUUAUAACUUGAGAAUUUAAAAGGAUUUGUACCACAUCUAUCUAUGCUUUUAUUUUAAUUCCAGGCUAUACGCGGUGCAUUUGGACUUUUGUCCCUGUGACUCUAUUGUUUGAUAACAAAUUUGAUAUAUACUUCUUAACAGGUCAUCUGUGGACGAUGGCAAGAAAGCAAGAAAAUAUUUUCGUAUCGAGGAGAUUCUAAUUGGCUCGGAUUUAGCAAGGUAAGAACAAAGUUUAAAUGUAGUAUGCUAAUUAUCCGAGCCCAGUUGGCUAGUUUGCUGUAAAUAAUUGGCUCGGAUUUAGCAAGGUAAAAUUUACAUUUGUAUAAGACCUAACAUUCUUGUAAACCAUUCGGGGUGGCCCAGUAGUUUGGGCUUGGGACUUCCAUGUUGGAUGUCUCAAGUUCGAAAUCCCUUGCCAACAAAAACAAGGAGUUUGCCUUUUGGGUCGGGCUUGCCUAGUGCACAUUACCUCUCCUAUGUGGUUUGCGAGCUAUUGCAGGGUUUUACGCACCCAAAAGUAGCGGCUGCGGAUUUCCUCAUCAUAAUCUUGUAAUUUCACCUCCAUUUAAUUCAUCCAAUUGUUAUUUUUUGACAGUGUUCAGACAGGGAUGUCUUGGGGGGUUGGUCCGACUCAGGUAGCUUAUUUGUCGCUGAUAUCCGUGCAGUGAACGGAUUACACCUUCCUGCUGCAACCAGUGUUUUUUAAUUUGAUUUGAUUUUACGGCGGGGCAGGGCGUAUGCCUGUAAGCCCCCAACGUUAAAUUUUAACUUUUGUUGUUUUGAAGUAUUUUUGCUAUAUAUUGGUGUUAUUUAUACUUUAUGUUAUUAUGUUUGAGAUAACCUUACCCGUGUUUUGGAGUUAACGCCUAGCCUACUGUUGUAUAAAACACCUCGCCUCACCUUUAAAUGAACUUGUUUCUCUUCAUCCUGCAUUUUACUCCAUCCUGUACACAAGUCAUGCAACACUCGAGCCAUUUGUUGGUUAACAGCAUCAAUUAUCUUGAUAAGAUUGUCGUUUAAAACUCUGUAUGAAAAAGAUCAAGAGUGCCCCGAAAGCCCCAAAGAACGGAAAUGGAAUUUGAUUUGUGUGGUUCCUUUUUACAUAUUGAAGUAUUGAAUAGUGUUAUAUGAUAUUUAUUGUGCAGAGACAUUACAAAUAAUAGAUAAAUUAAUUGAAUCGCAGCAAUUUAAUUCUCAUAUCAUCAUUUAUUGGAAGAAAAAAGAAGAGAGAAAGCGUUACAUAAGUUUGAAAUGGUGUACUUAUUUACUACAGGUGAAUGAGCCAACACAACAAGUUCUUUCUUUUUCUUGUUUUUGGAAUUUCCUAUCAAGACUUUUGUCAAAAUUAUUCUCUUUGAUUCAAAUUACUAUUAUUUUGUAGACUUUACAUUAAAUAUCUGCUUUGAUAUAUGUUAAUUUAAAGCCAGUCCAAUUUCUUUUAAGUUGUUUCCCCCAGAAGUUCUCAAAUUCAAUGUCUGAAGUUGAGGAUUCUUAGAUCAAACAAAAUUAUAUGAAGUUUGAACUCAUUCAAAUAUCAAGCAUUGUUUGAUACUUUUUAACUUUAGACACAUACGGAAGGUUAAUAUUUGGAGUGUUAACCUCAUUAUUUUCAACUUCAAUUUAGCAAAUUUGAAUACGACUUUCAAGACUAUUAAAAUUUAAAUUUUGAAUCAAUAUAAACAUAAAAUAUUUUUAAUUAAUGAAAUGACUUUUUAUUUUUUACAAUUACAAAUAUUUUGAGAAGAAGUCAUAAAAAAUGACCAAUAUGUUGAAUUGGAGCAAAUUGAAGGAGUCAAUUUAGAUGAAUCUUUCAAAGGUCAAGAUAUGUAAGCAUUGAGGAGACAAGAUCAACUUGCACUAAAGCAAUUUAUUUUCUUCUCAAUUAUUUUUGGACCCUAAAAAAGUUUAUUGAGCUCCAAUAGGGUUGGGUCCACCCCCAAAAUAAAACUUUUGGACAAUACUUAAUAUGGACCUACCUUUAUCUAGACUAACCCCUCCAAUGCCUAUGGAAAUGUACCACCUCUCCACUCCAAAACCCUAACUACCAAAAACAAGGAAAAGAAAUACUACUUUCUCUGUUUCACAAAAAAUAUCCUGAUUUAAUUUGGCAUGAAAUUUCAAAAAAUAAAGAAAAUCUUUGAAUCUUGUGGUUCUAAAUCAAAGUUUUGUUAAAUGUACAAAAAUAUUUUUUAAUUUUGUGGUCCUAAACAUAGCAUGUGAAAAGCAGAAAUUAAAAUUUAACUUAAAAAAAAAGAUAUCAUUUUUUUUACAUCUUUUUUAAACAGACUAAAAAUAAAAGCAUGUCAUUUUUUAAAAAUGGAGAAAGUACUAUAAAUUAAAUAGAUAACUCAGUUGUAAGAGAUUAUUCUUUUUUAAACAGACAAAAAAUGAAAGGAGGUUAUUUUUCUUUUGAAUUAGAGGAAGUACUAUAAAAUUAAGUAGAUAACUAAGUCGUAAGGAUGUGACUUAGUGCUAAUUUUUCUUAUUUAUCCGAGUGAUGGCAUUUCACUCCGUAUAUAGGUCGAUGUCAUGAUUUAAUUGAGGAUCAUUCAAAUUGAUCUGGACACCAAAAUUAUAAGAAAAUGAAUAGGUUACUUAAUUUAUUUCUUUAUUUUUUUAUGUUUCACUAUUCUAAUAAAUGCAAGUUGCUAUCAAGGGUUUUUUUGAUAGUGACAAAAAAUCAGUUUUGGAACAAAACUAGUAAAAAAAUUGGGAUUAGUGAUGGAACUAUAUCCUACUAAUUUUUUAGACUGUGGACCCUGGAGUUCUGGGACUUUGCAAAAUCACAUGCUUUGUGCUUCUUCCUUCUUUAAAGUUUUUUUUGUAUAAAUCUAAUUUAGUAGUAGCUCAACUUUUAAUGACUUUUUUUUGUUCAUUUUUAUUUUCUCAUUGUAUAUAUUAAAAAUAAAUGUUUCAUUUUACUUGUUUAGUUUUUUUUUUAAUCUUAUGUCUAUUUAAUCUUAAUUAUUACUCCAUUCUGUUAAUUACUUCUUUUAAGGAGUCAAAGUCAAAUUGAAUAUGAAUAAAUAAAGAUAAAUAAAUGAAAUGUUACUACUUACUAGUAAAGGCAAAACAAAUAAGAAAAUGAAUUUGAUUUUCAUGGCUAAAAGUUCACUUAAUUAUCUUACUUUUCAAUCCCCUAAAAAGUGGUUUAAGGAUAGGCCAUAUAUUAUGAAUAUAAUAUAAAGGAAACUUUUGGAAAAGUGAAACUUGAAGCACAAGUUUUGGUACUUUUUUUAAUGGAUAUUACUAAAUACUAAUCAAUUAUUAGGAGUCCUAAUUAUUAAUCAAUUAACUCCUGAUUUGAUUGGUUUUCUACAUUUGACUAGUUGAUUUCUAGAGAAAUUAAACACCUCAAAACUUCCCAUAGAUAAAUAGUGGCUAAACACCUAAUAUUUCAAAAUAAAAGGAAAAAAUAUCUUGUUGCAAUAAUAUUUAUAAAAGAAAAAAUAGAAGAUAUUUAUUUCUCCGUGGAUCGCUUGAUCGAUGGAAUAAGAAAUUUCAAAUUUUGAAAGUUAAUUUUUUCAUAUUUAGUGCAAUUUUUUAUAUCAUAAUUAUACCUAUUUCUAUACCAUAUUUUAUAUGGGACAAAAAUUUCAAAAUUACUAUAAUUUUUUUUUUUCGAUGCUUUCUCCCAACAUUUUGUAAGAGAAGUCCAAUUAAACUAAACACAUGAUAUAUAUAUCUCAUUUUUAAUCCAACAUAAUCUAAUAUUUAUCAAUAAAAAUAUAUAUUACACUAAAGAAAAUCCUAUAAUUAUUUAAUUUUUAUAUUAUAAUUUUGAGGAUGACUGGCCAGCAAUCAACCCUUUUUAAAGGGGAUAAGAGAUGCAUAUUGAUACGUCCUCUUAGACAUGUGGAUAUGUUUAAUUAAAAUGCUAUAAUUUUUUUAAUCUAAUAAAUAUUAAUUAAUUGUGAUUCCAUGCUUCUUAAGCUUAUGACAUAUCCCUAUUAUAAUUCUGAUAAUAUUAAAAUAGUUGAGAGGACGGAACACCACAAUAUUAUAUAACAUGACCCCAUCUAAGUUGGCCAUUUUAUUUAAGUAUGACAACAACAACUUAAUAGUUCAAUUAUUCACAAAUUCUUAUGACAUUCUACCAUAUUAUCUUUGGUGAUUGUGAUAGAUUUUUCUAAUAUCUUAAACCAUUUAAAUAUUUUAUACAUUUUUGCGUUGCACGAUGAACUUAAUUAUUAAAAAAAUAUCUUCGAGAAGAAGACCCCAAACCUACUAACUAUAUAAUAUAAAUUCACGAUAUCUACGAUAUAAAUUUCUUUUGUUACAAUCUAUUAUUUGUUUUGAUGUGAUUAAUAAGAUAUGGAUCUUUCAUAUAUCUUAACUUGUAUAAUGUAUAACGCAUGAUGAUAUAUAUAAUGUUAAGAAGAGUUGAACUUUAAAUUAGAGAAAAUAUUCACAUGUUUUAGUAGAGUUAACUGAUAUUCAUUGUUAAUUAAGGAGGAUAGGAAUAUAAUAAAAUUGACUGAUGUAUAGAUAAGUUAAUUCGAAAAUCAUGAUUAUAAAAGAAUAAAUAAAUGACAACUAUGGUGUUUGUUAAAAGUAGGAAAAUAGAAAGUGACAAUAGGUCCCAUUGCUGAAUUCCAUCUUGGAUUUUGAGAUAACUAUGUGAUGUUUAUAUGAAUUGUUCAUAUUGGUUGCUAAGAAAACAUGGAGUAUAAUUAUUAAUUAAGCUACCGAUUAAAGUAAAAUGGGGAUUUUUUCCGAUUAUUCUCAGAAAAUGGUUUGUCUCAUACCUUUUUUCCCUUUUAAACUCUCUAAAGAUGCACCUAUAUUAGUUUUUAAAAGGGCUAACUUUCACAUAUAGCAAAAAAAAAAUUCAUAUUUGUAUGCUAUAGCAAAGUUUGCAUAAUUGCGCUCCAUAGCAAACAUAAAACUGUAUAAUUCGCUAUACAUAUACAAUUGUAUAAUUCGCUGGCCUAAAUUGUAUAAUUCGCUGGCCUAUUUCGCUGCAAUUAUAUAAUUUGCUUUGCAUACAGUUGAAUCGAUUUAAAAUGUGUGUAUAUUGCAUAAUUAUAAGUGUAUAGCAAGAAGAUAUAUGUUUUUCUCGCUUUAUACAAAAACAGAAACACAAUAUAUACACUUCUGUUGUAUAAAGCUAGAGAAAAUUGUAUUUCACUGCAAUUGUAUAAUUCGCAAUUGUAUAUUCGUUGGCCUUUUUCUCUGCAAUAUUUGAAGUAAAAUGUUUGUAAAUUGUAUAAUUAAGUGUAUAGCACGAAGAUAUAUAUUUUUGCAUGUGUAUAUACAAUUUUCUCUCGCUUUAUACAAAACAGAAAUAGAAUUAUACACUUCUGUGUAUAAAGCGAGAGAGGCGAGCGAGAUUUCUGAGAGAGAGACGCUGGCAAAUUUUAGAUAACGUAUGCUAUGGAGCACAACUAAAUCAAACCCUAGCUAUUUCAUUUAUUUUAGGUUAUUAGUUUGCUAUUAUAUAAAAUUUCUCAAUAAUAUGAAUUGGAUAUUUAAUUAAUGAUAAUUAGUUAAGUGUAUGUGUUUUUACACGUGUAAAUCAUAUUAAUUAAUAAUAAUUAUAUAUGUAUGAAAUAAACGCAGUUUAUGAUUACUUGCAGUUUUGGAUUUGUUAUUUAUGUUUAGUUAAGAUUUGUUAGUUAGUUAGGCUCAUAGUCCUAAUUUACUUUGGUCGUUGUUAGUAUUAUGACUUAUGAGUUUCUAAUUCUAGUUUACUAUGGUUGUUAGUAUUAUAAAUAAAAGUAACUUAUUACAUACACUCGAUGUGUAGAGAGAUACACUCGAUGUACAAAAAUACAAGAGUUAUUGAGGUUAUUUAAUAACUCUUCUACCUCCUAUUUGUUGAUUAAUAGAUUUCUUCUAUAUAGAGGGUGUUUGGUACGAAGGAAAAUGAUUUUCUACAAAAUAUUUUUCUAAACCUGAAAAAUAAGUAGAUUUUGGACUUAUUUUUUCAUGUUUGGUUGUUGAGUAGAAAAUAUUUUUUUGAAAAUGAUUUUUAGUGUUUGAUUUAUAAAUGAAAAAUGUUUUAAUAAACAUAUUUUAUUUUUACUAGAGUAGAAAAUAAUUUCUGAAAUUUAACAUAUUUUUUAAAAACAAAAUUAUUUUUUUGGGGGGUGGGGGUGGGGGCAGGGGGAGAGGGGAGGGGGAGGAGUGGAAAAAAAAUUGAACUUGAUAAUAAUUUUUAAAAAAAAAUUGGGGAGGGGGGUAGGAGUUUAAAAAUAAAAAUUCAAAGUUGAAAAUAUUUUUAAAAAGCAAAAUUAUUCUUUUGGGGAAAGGGGGGGGGGGCUGGCCGAUGGUGGGUGGGUGGGUGAAGGGUUAGGGACCGGGUGAAAAAAUAAAAUUUUGAAAUUGAAAAUAUCUUUUAAAAAUUGAUAUUUUUUUUCAAAAAAAAUGUAAUUUGAAAUUAGAGGAGAGUUUUGGAAAAUGUUUUCCAUAAUUUUUUAAGGAAAAUCAUUUUCCUUAAUUUUGAGAAUAAUGAAUUGAUUUUAAAAAAAAUUUCAAAUUUUUUGUCCCAACCAAAUAUUAAAAAAUUGAAAAAUAUUUUCCAGAACACACUCAAAAAAUCAUUUUUUGGGGUUUUCACUCGUGCAUAUAUUACUGCCAUGAGUAAUUUAUUUCUUUCAUAUUGGCUUGUGUGUCUUGAUAAAAACUUCGUGUGAGAUCUGACAUUUACAAAAGAAUAUGAGUUAGAGGUGGCUCAAUGCCUUUAAAGAUGAGGCAUACAUUUUAAUCUCUAAAAUUGAAGGGGUAAUUUUUUAGUUGUAAUAAAUUUAUUUUAAGUUUUUUUUAACAAAAUAAAUAAAUAAAUAAUGUUUUAAUUUGUUUUGAAACAUUAAAGAGUGUUUCUUUUUCAUGGAUCAAGUUUUAAAUUUAACUUUCACAUGGUAUAUUUAAAAUCACAAGAUUAUAUAUAUAUAUAUUCAGUUUAACAUUAUAAAAAAAUAAUAUUUUUAUUAAAAAGGAAAAAAUAACCUGAACAUCAUAUAUCUGCUAUAUGAGUAUUUCAUAUUUACCUAAAUGCCCUAUUAUUUCUUUUUGUGUUUGAUGGCAAAAAUAAUUUUGGAGUUGAUAUUACAUAUGAAUAUUUUUUUCAAAAUUGUUCAAUGGUCCAUUAUUAAUAUUGGAUUAGUUGAAAUGGAAUUAUAAGACAUAAUUAUAUUUACGUGGUGUUAUGGAUGUGAAGAGAGAAACUUCAACAACUUUGGAAAUAAUUUGAAUUCGCUCAUAUGAAACCAAUAUAAUUAAUUAAAUAUUUAGAUUCAAAGAUGUCGAUAGUCUAAAAAUUUAGAUCCAAAGAUAUUGUCGCUGGUUUAAGAAUAGAUUAGUAUUAGAAGAAAGUAUUAGAGAUUCAAAGAUAUUGUUGAUGGUCUAAGAAUGAAUAAAAUAGUAUUAAAAGAAAGUAUUAGGAUAAGUUAAAUUUAACUUCUCUCAAGUUAAAGAGUUAAAGAUUUUCAGACCAAAAAGAAUAGACGUUGAGUCUAUGGCAAAUCUGAAUAUUUUAAAGCUUGGUGAUCUAAAUGGUAAAUUUACCAAUCUCUUAUAUCUAAAAUUAUUUCAAAACGAAAAUAACAAUAAUAAUAUAUCUAGUGAAAUUUCACAAAGUUAAAACUGAGCCAAAGUAAAAAAAUGAGUAAAGUAGAGUAUACAUAAAUUUUAUUACUCCCUCAUGAAUAUAGAAGUUGUUUACGGGAAACCCUUGAUUUAAGUGUACCAAACUAAAGUGUAAAAUUUACCAGAGAAAAACAACGACAACAACAAAAUAAAUGGGAAAACAUAAAGCAAUAACAACACAAGACCACUCACGGCCCUAAACCUCACAAGGAUAAGAUAACACUCUACGACACCUACUAAUCUUGUACAUAAUACACAAUUAAUCACCUCUUCUUUAUACUUUUUCGGUCUUCAAAAUCUUGUAUUGUGCACUUGACCAAAUAAAUCAAGUUAUUUAUAGAAGGAUAAGUAUAUUACCUGUGUGAAGCUCUAUUUAUUUUUUGACACAUGAAUAAGUGGGUCAUUUAUGUACUGCAAAAACUUUUUACAUUUAACAAGAAAGAGAAUAUACUUACACAUAAAUUGAGUUGAAAAAAUAUAAAAAAUGCAAGAAAAAUUAUGUGUAUUUGCUACUUUUUUUUAAUCAUUAUUAAUAUUAUAUUAGUUUGUGGAAUUAUAGUCUUAUAAAGGAUAUAUUGUUGUUAUUGUAGUUGUAUAUUAGUUUCACAAAUUUAUUUUGAUAUCAUAUUAUUCUGUGUAUUCAUGUUGUGUUUUUUUUUAAAAAAAAACUUUUAUAAUUUUUGUGAUUUUUAAAUGUAGUCACUUUAAUUUAGUUGUUAUAAUUUGAAAUGUCCAUUGUUACCUUAUUUUUAAAUUAGAACUUCUAAAGGAAAAUAAAAAAAAGUUAAUUAUAUUAUUAUUAUUAUUAUGGGGGUGAUUGUUUAAAAUAAAAUAUCGCUACUCAAAGAAAUAGUUUUUGAAAAGUUUAAACUUCGUUUAAGUUAGUAAUUUUAAUGAAUAGUCUAUACAUAUUAAUUAUGUUGGUACUUGCAAAUUUAGAACUUAAAACAUCAGGUGGAUGAUAAUUAAUAGGCAGAAAGUACAGAAAGUGGUAUCAUAAUUCUUGGUGACUUAUAUAACUAAACGUAUUCUAUUCAUCUCCUAAUUACCUUACCAAUUUUCAAAAUGAUUAUUCAUAUUCUUGACAAUUUUUUUGUGGAAGAAAUUCUACACACACACACAUAUAUAUGUGGUGUUUUCUCCUUGAGUUGAAUAAAAAAAAGGAUGCUGAGAAUUAUAUUGUGUUUAUAUUAGAGGUUAGCAAGUAUAGUGAUGAAGAUUAAAGCGAGAUAAGAAAGAAAUUAUAUAUCGAAUGAAAGUGUUGUUUUGAUGGAGCUUUAAAUUUUCGACUAAUCUAAAGUUAUUUGAGUUAUGCAUAUACACUAUUAUAUUCUUAAGUGGAUAAGUCAAAAUAAUAUUACUGUCUACUCGAUUGAUAAAUAUUAUAUUAUAAUAAAUUUAAAUAUUUUUUUAAAAAAAUUGUUUCAAUCCAAAUACUUAUUUUAUUUUUUUAAUAAUAACUUUCUAAAAUUUAUAACUCAUUCAUCUAAUACAUUACAUUUAUUAAAUAAAUAUAUCAUUUAAAUUAAAAUUAUUAAAUUUUAACAAAUUCGUAACUGACUCAAUUGCAUUUGACAUUAUCAAACUCAAGAAAAUGGUAGAAUUCUAGAGAAGUCUAGCGGACCCAGUCCGUCUUACGCCCCAAUAAAGACAUAUCUCUAUACUUCUUUGACAACUGACAACACUCACGCUUUCACCAUACUUUUUGGGUCCAAAUUAAUUAAUAUUGUUUAAAAUUAAUAUAAAGAUAUUAUGAUAAUAAAUAUACAUUUUUUUAUAAUAUUUGUAACUUGCAUUAUUUUAUAUUUUUUAAAAUAUAUAAUUUCUGAAAAAUUUAAAAUAUUAAGUUGAGUUAGGACAGAGGAAGUAAAAUACAAGUUUUAUGCAUUUAUUUGAUUUGACAAAACAUGUGACGUAAGUAUUUUCACUAUCGUUGUAUUAUAGUGAUGAAUACUUGGUCUUCUGCUUGUUCAUCCACGAAGACCUCUUCUUCUUUUUUUUUUUGGGGAUUUAAAAGAAAUGGAUUAAUUAAUUUCCUAUUUUAUAUAUUAUUUUUAGUACAAAAUGUACUUUUAAUUUGAGUGCUACAUAUAGUAGUGACGUACACUUGAGAAAAGAAACGGGUAGAUGAUGAUAAUAAGAACGAGCGCCGCGCUAAGACAGGAAGAAUAUGUCAUGUUAAAGAGUGAAGAAUAAUUUUCGUUUUAUGUAAAUUACGUUUUGAGGUAAUGCUGAAUUUUUUUUUAAAAAAAAUUACUGAUUUAGAUUAUAAUAUGGUUAUAUUAUUUAUACAAUUAAAUUUGAAGAAAAAUUAUCCAAUCAACAUUUUAAAUAUUUUACUUUUUGAUACAUUUGUCAUUUCAGAUAAGUUUUACACAUAAACUAAUCGAUUUACUUGCUAUUACAAAUUUAGAAUUUAUCAAGUUUGAGGCAGAAUAACGUAACUAAUUUAAUUUGAAGGGAAGAAUAUGCUAUUCUCUCUGAGAUUAAUACUAUUUUAAGGUAUUAGAUUCAAUUUUGUUAAUGGUAAAUUAAAUAAUCUCAUUUCUUGAUUAAAAAAAUGAAUUUGAUUUUUAUCUCAAUUACAUGAUGACUAACAUGUAAGACUCUCUCUCGUUUGAGACGUAAGAUAAUCAAUUAGGUUUCUAUUUUUUUUUUCAAUUAGAAGCCAAACAUGUCACUAUUAGAAUAUAUUUAGUUAUGUAAUUUCUUAAUUAAGGUAAAAUAAGAUGAUAACGUUGAGUGGAAUAAUUAGAAAUAUUAACACCUGUAAUUCUCUAGAAAUAUAUAUAUAUUUCUUAAUCAUGUUUAUUCAAUAUUACCUCUCCUGUUCAGUUUAGUCGUAAGUUGUAAUGGUACAUGUUACUCUUAAAAAAUAAUUAAUUUUGUUAAAUUCUUAAAUUAUGUUAUGCAUUUUUUAGUUUCAAUUUAAUGCUACUAAUUAUUUUCAUCAUAUUAAUCUUUUUAAAUAUUUAUUUGGUAAGGGUAAGGUCAAAACUAAUAUACAAUUAAUUAUUACUUUUUAUUUAAAUUGUUAUUUUAGGUCUUUCAUGUUUAUUAAAAAAAAAUUACUAUAGAAAAAAGGUGUAAUUUACCAAGUUAUUCAUAUUCUUACUAAUUUUACCUUUAUAGAUACUUUCUUUGUUUCAAAUUUAAUGACAAUGUUUGACUUGAUAAUUAUUUUAUAAAAAAAUAAAAGGCUUUUAAAAUUUAUAAUUUAAAAAUAGCUUUAGAUAUUUAUUUGAUUCUAAAGUGAAAUUUGAUAAUUUUUGGGACAAAUUAAAAUGAAAUAUGCGACUGUAUAAGUUAGGAUCAAGGCAAAAGUACAGAUUAAAAUAUAGUUCCUAGGUUACACGAAAACUUAACUAAAUAGCAAUACAUUCAAAAGAAAACAAUUAUUUAUAUGAUUCUUUUAUUAUGUAAAAUAUCGCUUAUUUAAAUCAAAAUAAAAUAGUAAAAAUGUCACUUUUAAUCUAAAAAAUCGAAUAAGAGGAAUCGAAUACUUCUAUAAUAUAAAGAAUAUAAUUUGAAAAUAAUUCUCAAUGAUACUCCUGAAUCCUUAAACUAACUAUUUUGGAAUAAAAUGAUAAUGAAAAUAACACAUGAGUAUGUCACAAUUUUUUUAUAUCAAUAAGCAUGACGAUUAAGAUGGAUCGAAAGAAUACUCUUCUCAUUUUAAGAAAAUGAUAUUUAAUUUAAAAAUUAAAAAUAAUUUUUUUUGAUACCGCAUCUUUCAACAUAUUUUUAGAAAAUAAUUAUGAAAUGUAUGCCUAACUACAUUUCUAAUAUCUAUUAUCUUAGAUUAUAUAAUAUGUUUCACAAGACUCUGUCAGCUGAGGUGACCAAAAACGUUCACCCAAAUAGGACAUAUUAGACAUUUAAUUUAAUCUCGGCCCUUAAAUCAAACAAAUAAAGUAAAUCCAAUGGAUAAAAGUCAAUAUUGUAGAUUAUUCUUUUUGAAAAAUUUAUGUUACACGUUCUUACAUUGGCCCAUCUAAAUUGAACUUCAUACGCGUUCCUUGCGUGUGAUAGUACGUGUUUACUUGAAAAUUUAAAUCAAAAUAUUUAUUUACGUCCUAAUUAAUGAUACUUAGCCCUCAAUUUGGAUAUAUUCCCUCUGUUUCUGUUUAUUUGUUCAUAUUUCUUCUUUUAAAUGUCCUUAUUUACUUGUCCAUUUUGAUAAAUUAAGAAAGGACAAUUUUUUUUUCUAUUAUACACUUAUUUAAAUUUCUUGAAAAUUUCAUAGUUUUAAUUCAUCAUCCUUAUUGAAACCAUAUUGAAUAAGGGUAAGAUUGUAACUUUCCUAUGUUAAUUAUUGUUAUCUUAAUAUGUAUGACUUUUAUAAAGUGGACAACUAAAUAGGAACAGAGGGAGUAAAUAAUUUUGAGAUUCUAAAGUUGUUUCUGGAUAUGCAUGUUAUUUGAAAAAAAAAAAAUUCGUGAGUAAAAAAUUUCUAAUAUUCAAAAAUUUGUCUCAAUCAAUUUUUAAAAAUUUGAAAAUAUUUAAAAUUUUAACUAUAUUUUAUAAUUAAAUAGAUGUUGAAAGAUGAAUUUUCCAAUAUUUUAUUUAAAGUUUAUAAGUUAUAAUCAGCCACUAAUUUAAAGAAUAUUUAUUUAAGUUUAUAAAUCAAUCAAGUUUGGAUUAUAAAUAUUUUUAAAAAAUUUAUCUAUGCGUAUGAAAAGUACCAUAAAUGCUUAUUAACCAAAUCAGCUCAACUGGUGCAUUUCAACUUUCGAGAACUUUUAAUUUAUUAUUUAUCUUUUUUUUUAAUUUGAUAUAUCCAUCGUAUCUCAUUUUUUCUUUUUUAACAAAGAUAUAAUUUUUUUUUUAUGUAAAAUUACAAAAGCUUUAGCAAAAAUAAUUCAUUGAAUUUCCAUUUAAGUUGGUGGGUACCUUUUUGAGAAUUUACAAUUUUUACAAUUAUUGAAAUUUCUCUUUCAUCCUUUUUUUUUUUUUUAUAUAUAAAAAAAUAAAAUAAAAUUCCAACAAACCCAUAUACGCGGUGGAAAUUGAGCAGAAUAUAAGGGCGUUUUCCUGCUGUUAGGGUUCCCAAAAAAAUCCUCUCUCUUUGCCUUUGUAGACUUUGUCUUCUUUCUUCAUAAUUCAUUGAUUUUUUCUUAAUCAAUCUUUUCGUUUGCAUUUGAUUGUUGAUAAUUUGGAGAUUUUAAAAGCCAAUUUAAGUUUUUCAUUGCUUUUCUGGGUUUGAUCUCAAUUUCGCGUUUUGAGAUUUCAAAUUUUCAAUUUUGGUUUUUUUUUUGAGUGUUUCAUGUGAAAAAAAGAGUAAUCUAGAAAUGCCAGUUACAGAUUAUCAAGGAGCAUCUGCAUCUUUCACAAAUUUUGGGAGAUCUCUUUUGAGUAUGCGUCGAGAUCAGGUGCAUUCCAUGGAAGCUGCUCAUGAGGCGACUAGUCAAGAGAUUGAACUCGAAGCUUUCCAGAAGCAAGUGGCUGAGCGUUUUAAUGAAUUAUCUUCUGUUGAUUCUGAUCAAUUGCUUUCGGUUCCCUGGAUCCGUAAGCUGUUGGAUGUGUUCCUCUGUUGCCAGGAGCAAUUCAGGUCUAUUUUGUUCAACAACACUGCUAAUUUGAACAAACCUCCUAUGGACAGAUACGUCACUGAAUAUUUCGAUAGGAGUGUGAAGGGAUUGGAUGUUUGUAACGCGAUAAGGGAUGGAAUUGAGCAGAUAAAGCAGUGGCAGAAGCAGUUGGAGAUUGUUCUGUGUGCAUUGGAAAAUCAGAGGUGUGUUGGUGAAGGUCAAUUUCGUCGUGCUAAGAAGGCUUUGAUUGAUUUUGCAAUUGGUAUGCUUGAUGAGAAGGAGUCUAAUACAUCUGUGGCUCAUAGAAACAGGUCAUUUGGCCGAAACAAUACUCAGAAUGAUCAUAAAUCUUUAGGCCAUUUUAGAUCAUUGUCAUGGAGUGUUUCUAGAAAUUGGUCUGCUGCUAGGCAGCUUCAAGCAAUUGGUAACAACUUAGUUGCUCCAAAAAAUAACGAAAUUGCUGCUACCAAUGGAUUAGCGUUGGCUGUUUUCACAAUGAGUUAUGUGUUAUACUUUGUAAUGUGGGCACUUGUGGCAGCAAUACCAUGCCAGGACCGUGGGUUGCAGACCCAUUUUUAUGUGACUAGGCAAUUCGUUUGGGCCGUCCCAAUCCUAUCACUCCAUGAAAGGAUUUUGGAGGAAUCGAAGAAGAGGGAUCGUAGAAAUGCUUGUGGAUUGUUGAAGGAGAUUCAUGAGAUGGAGAAAUGCGCUCAUCAUAUGAAUGAAUUGAUCGAUACGGUUCAUUUUCCAAUCACAGAGGAAAAAGAUGGAGAAGUGAAGCUAAGAGUUCAUGAACUUGGGCUUGUUUAUGAUGGUUUAAAGAAUGGAUUAGACCCUUUAGAGCGCCAGGUUAGGGAAGUAUUCCAUCGAAUUGUUCGGAGCAGGACUGAAGGCCUCGACUCAAUCGGACGAGGGAAUCAUGAGUGAAACAAUUGUUGGGAACCCAUCAAUUUAGAAUAUGAUAUAUAGAUUUUCCCUUUUCAGUUCUUUUCUUUUUUGGACCUUUUUUAGAUGAGGGAGAAUGGUUAAUGGUGCCAGAAAAAUAAGUAGUUUAAAGAGGUGAAAAUAAUGUAUUCUCACUUCAUAUUUGUAAAGAAAUUUAGGGAAAAAAUGGAUCUUUGAUUCAUUUUUGGUGAUAAUCAUCUUGUUUGGGAUUGUAUAAUCACUUAUGACUUAAGUUUGCUUUUCUAACUCUUUAGCUGGGUUUCCUUUUUCAGUUUCUUUUAGUUGUUGUUGCUUGCAAUCUUGGUGUAAGAGACUCUGUAUGCUUCACUUACGAGAUUACAUUGUUUGUCGUUAUUGAAUUAGAAUUUAAUUAUUAUGAAGCUUAGAAAAUGAGUUUUACAGUAUAAAGGAAUGUCAUUGACUGUUCAGUUAACAUUGUAGUGAUUUUCUGUCUCUGUUCAUCACUUGACCAUUCAGCCUCUGGAAUGGUCAUUUUUAUAUUGAGAUUCAUUUUAUCCCAAAAAACAUUGAUACUUUUGGAGUUGGCUUUGUUGGUCCUUUUUUGUUCUGACAUUAGAGCUGGCUUGCUGUUUUCUACAUUUUCUCAAGUAUCUUCCAUGAAAAAUUUUAAACAAUUCUUCAGCAUGUGAUUUUGGUCAAAAUUCUGGUUUCUUGUUGACUUGGACAUUGUUUUUAUUUAUGGAACCCACGUUUGUUAAUUCUCCUAUGUGAAUAAAUGAGUCAGGUAAGACUAGCAUGACUUUCUUUUCUUAUUCUUUUUUUUUUUUGUCAAAUGAACCCCGGUAGGGAAUGCUUUAGCUCAAUGCGAGAGUUUUUUAUUUGAAUUUAAACGAGCAAUUUUUUCAUAUAGUAAAUACUAAUAAAUAUAAUUAUAUAUAAUUCGUUAUACAUAUAUAAAAAAAUCAAUUGUAUAAUUUGUUAUAUAUAUACGAAAGAAAGCAAUUGUAUACAAAUCAAUUGUAUAAUUUGUAUAUGUAUUAAACGAGAAAUAGAGAAAGACAAAAAAAUAUUGAGCAGGAGAAUAUUUGUAUUGUAUAAUUAUAAAUGUAUAGGACGAACAUAUAUGUAUUUGGAAAUGUAUAUACUAUUUUCUCUCGCUUUAUACAAACAGAAACACAAUUUAUACAUUUUGUUUCUAUUUGUAUAAGCUAUGGAAGCGAACAAGAUCUGAGAGAGUGGCGAGAGAGAUCUGGGAGAGGGGAACGAAAAAAUAUAUGUAUAUAUAUAUUUUUUUUCUCGCUUUAUACAAACAGAAACACAUUUUAUACACUUGUGUUUGUAUAAAAGUGAGAGGGAGCAAGCGAGAGAGGGAGAGUGGCGAGCGAGAGUUUGAGGGAGAGAGGUGAUUGACAAACAAUUUGCUAUAGGUCACAACUAAAUCAAAGUGUGGUUAUAACAUUUAAUUUGAUUUAUUAGUUUAUCAUUAUAUAAAAAUUUUCCAAUUUAAAUUUAGUUGGAUUUCAAUAUAGAUUUUAAACAUCAGAUGGAAAACCAAAAGAAAAUGUAUUGGGACAAUUUCCGAAGUUAUAUACAUUGACAAGGUAAAGAAUUUACACUAUCAAUGCAGUCAAAUUCAGGCAUUUCAGUUCUUGGUCGUUCAACAACCUUUAGGCCGUUUGGCCAUAGAUUUAUCAAAUAAUAUUUGGGAAAAAAUUUGGCAAAUAAUGUUUGUUCAUCCAAUUUGUCAUUAUUUUGACAAAUAUCCCAAAUUUUCAAAUACUAGUUUUUUUUAGUAUUUGGGUCAAAUCUCGGAUCUUUUAAAAAUUAAAAUUUUAUCCCAAACUUUUAUCUUUUACAAAAACAUUCUCUAUAGUAGUUGUUUGCGUUGUAUUACAUAAUUUUUUACGUGAACACCAAAAUGGGUGAUGAAAUAUAUAGUGAAUAUUAAAUAAUGAUAUGAUUGUUGAUGAAAAUGAUGAAAAAUUAGCUCAAGCUAACAAAAUCAUGUGUUUCGUCUACUUCACGAUGUAUGUAAUGAUGUUUGUUGCACUCACUCCAAAUUACCACAUUGCUCUAGUGUCAUGAACACUAUUUGUUAUUGUUGUAACAAACAUUCAAUUGACUUGUAAUACAAACUUAUAGUUAGUUUUGAUAGUUUUUAAAACUUACGAGUAUAAAUCAUAUUUUUUAAAAAAAGAUGAAAUAUAUUUUCCAAAUCUUAUGGCCAAACACAUAGUGAAAUUUCACCUAAAUUUUUAGUUAAAUAAUAUUUGUAAAAAAUAUUCAAAAAUUUAUGACCAAACGCUAACUUAAUAUGGAGUUAUUAGUUUCUAAGAUUCAAAAAUUGUGAUGUUAAGUCUAUAUAUUUAUGUGUUAUAUACUACUUUCUAAUAUAAAAAUAGUGUAAUUUGGGUCAAGGACAAUGGGGGCUUCAAAUAGGUUAUUAUUCUAUUGUCAAGAUAACAAUAUCAGACUUGAUAUACAAACUUACUUGUUCUAGUAAAUCACCUUUUAAUUAUAAAACAAACUGUAUACAUUACCGUAAAAUGUUUAUGUCUGCGUUAAGUGUACACAUAUCUUACUUCUAUUUCUGAGGUAGAAAGAAAUUUUUUUUUAAUUGAUUCUCAGCUCAAGAUAUAAUAUUCUUGAAAAGAGGAAGUAUGGAAGUAUAAAAAACAACAAAUAAUAACAAAAAAAAAAACAGCUAGUAAUAGAACAAAAACUUCAACAACAUGAUAUGAUAAUUGAGGUACAAGUAACAAAGUGUGAAGAACAAGAAACUACAUGAGCAAUAUUGACUACUAUAUAAACGAUCUUUUUUUAGUAACCUUUUGUUCUAAUUCGUAUUCUCCACACCUUCCUACACUAUAAUGUAUAAAACUGAAACUUUUUCCAACAAAUCUUGUUAGUUUGUUAAUAUGAUCCAAACACCAGAAACAAACAAAAGGGGCAUCUUAAAAAAAAAACUUAAUCAAUCUCACAUGUUUGAUUAAUUUGUCAAAGCAUUGAGAACAUGGUAAAAAAAAUUGAACUCAACCCCUCCUACCCCCUACCCCACACCCUAAACCCCUUCUAGAUUUUGAUAUUUUUAUGGCCAGCUAAUUGCUCAUUUUGAGAACUGGAUCAUAGCUGGCAUGUUUGUUAACAUCAUCAAUAAGUUCAAAAAUCAAGAUUUGACAUUAUGCAAUAUAGUAGUAGCUACUACCAAUUGGAUAAUGAGAGGCCACUAAGUGGUAAGAGAUAUUUGAGGCAUUCUUUGAAUGAAUCUACAAGUCUUUUGAAGGGUGUGCUUUAAUUGCCAUAUAUAAUAAAUAUAUGUUGCAUAUUAGCUGGCUGAAUAUAUAUAAUAUUAUGGCAGGCAACAAAGAAAGUGGACCUCAACAUUUUUUCCAAUAUCUAGGACAAGUUCUAUAUUAAUGGCUUCUAUCUAUAGGACAAAAAUGAAGUAACUGCCAAAUUAUUGCUUUUUGACAUUAUUAAAGUUUUAACCAUAUUGACCUCAAUGCCAGAUUAUGUUUCUCUUUUUUCAAUCGAUAUUUCAGAAGCAGUCUCUUUAAAUCACUAGUAGGAAUAAGAUUUAUGCAUGUUCUAUCUUUUUCAGAUUUAAUUUUGUAAAAUUAUACUAAAUAUAUUAUUGUUAUUUGAUGUUUAUUGUUUUAUAACGCUUAUUUGAAUGAUUUUUCAUUCUCUUUUAUUUUCUUAAUUUAAUAAAGAAUGAGUGGAAUACAAAAGUUAGUAUGUGUAUAAGAAAAUAAUUGGAAACCUAACCUUGCACGAAAUACCAACGAACUAGUGCAUGCAUCCUAGCUCAUUGUGGGAUUAAUUGAUAACAUAUGUAUGUGGUAGUCAUCAUUAAAACAUUUUGUGAGAAUUUGUUGGUAUAUUUUAAAAAACAUUAAGAGUAUUUUUUUUAAUGUUUUGCUUUAGAUAUUUGUUUUUCAAAACUCACUGACUCGACUAUUCUGAUAAACCAAUUAAGAAAGUACUUUUUUUUGUCAUUUUUCAAAACUCAAAUCUCUAUCAAACUAAGUUUAAGCUAAUCGAGAAAGAGAGUGAGGCUUCCAGCCAUAUUCGAAAAGUUGAGUAAAAGUUGUAUGUUUGCCAAGGCAAUAUUAGAUAAGAUCCUACGAGUCCUCUUAAUUUUCAAAAAAUGAAAAAAUUUCAACUAUUUUAUCUGAACGGUGAAUAAUUUUUAUUUAUUGAAUUAUAUAAUUAGAUAGAAACAUUAUAGAAAAUAACUACUAACGAAGCAGCCAAAUAAUUAGAUGCAUGAAAAUGUCAUGUGGACAUCUCAACUGCUACUUACUAACAAGUUGCAAAAUUUGGAAUAAGAUUGAACCAUGCCAUUGACAUUAUAUUAUAUUAUUAUUUAGCUUCACGUGACAUCAUUGAAUCCUUUAUUAAAUUCCAAAAGGUCUUCAAUUCGUUGGCACAUCCUCUAUAGAAACCCCUAUUAUUUAGAGUAUAAAUUAAUGUUGCCUUUGAUAUUGGCCAAAUUAUUUCUUAUAAAAUUCAACAAGUAGGUAAUAUUUUCUCAUUUUUUGAGGGUUGCCUAAAAGCAUUAAUGUAGCUAUAAGUUUUUUAGAAAAAUUCUAUUUUAGUAAUUAUUUAAUGUUUUUUUACAAUUUUUUUUUUGGAGUUGAGUAUAGAUUAUAUAUAUAGAAGAAGUUUUUUUUUUUUAAUUUUUUAAUUUUAUGGUUUGACUUUGCACCUAAUUGGUAGAAUGUAAAGAUUGUAACAGCACGAUUCAUCUUUAUUAUUUAGCGAGGACAGCUAAUUCGAUAACCAUUUCAUUAAUUACCAUUAAAAUUGUACAUAAGUUUCUUAUCCAUUAACUUCCUUUUUAAAGCAAAGAGGCUAUCUGAAUAUUUUCCUCUUUUAAUAAGAAAUAAUUUGUGUCAUUAUUAUUUGAAUGGAUAUUCACGGCAAUAAAAAUAAUUUUUCGCGGUAUUAAAUAUUAUCAAUAAUAAAGAGUGUUAAAAUUUUAACAACAUUAGUUAAGUGAUAUUAAAAUCAACGCCGCUAAAGAUUCCAGGGACAUAUAUAAAGAAUGUUAAUUGUCGCUAAAAAUACAUAUUUAGCGGUAAUUAAAAAUUAAUUGACGCUAAUGAUAUUUUUUAUGUAGUGAUUUUCUGUUUGAACCAUUAAUAUUGAAGUGUUUUUGUAAUUAUUAUUUUAGUGAACUUCACAUAUACUAAGUACUAUUAAAACAUGUUAGUAUAAUAUAUUAUUUUAAAAUUCUUUUUGGAUACACCGGAUGUGAUGGAAAACAAAAACAAUUCUAAUCAGGAUUAACUGGGAUAAAUUAUAGAGUUACCCCAAAUAUUAUUUUUAUUAAUUGCUUGGUUUGUUACGUUUGUUUUAAAAUGAAUAUGGUGUAUCAAAAUAGGAUUAACACGCCAUUUUGUCAAUAUUAUUUGUAUAAAAAUAAUAAUCAAUAAUAUGGGCAAUGAUAUGAUAAUUCACUCAAAUGAGAUAAGAUUAAUAGAAGUAUAUAUAUACCAAACUUAUAAUAAAUUUGAAUUGUCAUUUUCUAUACCUACCAAAAGUAUAUGAGAGGCCAAAAUGAGAAAAGGUCCCUCCUCUUCCAGUAUGUAACCAGUUUUUAUUAUGCUUUAAUUACCAAAAGUUGGUUUUCUCUCUCUUUUUAAUUAGUACUAUAUAUAUAAAAUAUAAAUAAUAAAUGAUGACAGUUUUUUUCUAUUAUAGAAAAUAUUCUUGUAUAAAUACUUUAUUAUUAUUCACAAUUCCAAAAUCACAAUCUUUUCACUUUGUUCACUCAUUAUUUAUUAUAGUGAUAAUAAAAACACAAGAUAGAUCAAUGAAUUGAGUGUGUGUUGAUUUUUGAAAAUAAAUUAUUGUGGAAUGAAUUGAUUAUUUUUUAACUUUAAGUUGAUUGAAACUAAUCCUUGGAAUUAUUCUAUUUUAUACACACAAUUUAAACAUAGAACAAGUGAGUGAUCACAAUUCAGAAUUAAUAACAUAAUUAAAAAUUUAAUAGCGAAGCAAGAAAUAGAUAAAUAUUUUAAAUUUUUAAAAGCUUAAUCGAACAGACUUUGUUGUUAAUCUACAUCCAUAUUGAUGGAACAAGAGCAUAUUAAGACUCAGUUAAAUCCACCACAAACACAUCACAUGGAUUUGGAAACCAAAUGUCCAAGUCUGAGCCAACUUAUAAUGGAUCAUAACUGACUCUAUAGUCUUAUCAUUGAUUUUUUAUGUAACUUUUUAAGUUGGAGACCUAUCACUUCGUUCUUCAAUUUAUUGUAUCCACAAGUUUUAUUAAAAAGUUGGUGUUUGAAAAUGUAUGAAACAUUAUAUUACAUGUCCAAUUUAGGAUAAAUGUGCAAGGCCAAGAGCAUUAUUAGUGUGUCUUUAUAAGAGAUUAGGCAUCAUAUUAUGCCUUUACCAUUUAUCGACAUAAUGUCAAACUCAUCUCCCCACUCCCACCCACCCACUCACUCUUAAAAGCAUUGAAAUCAUAUGACUAUGAAAUCUAAAAUUAAUCACUCCAACCACCAAGAGUACAAUCAGCUAGAAAUUUUACGAAUGGUGUUCAUAAAAAAGGGAAAAAACUUUUGCUUGUGAAAUUUAAACACGACUCAUUCUAGGCAUCUGGAACACAUCAAAGGGUUCUAAAACUAAUGGGCUACUGCAAUCUAUUAUGUUAAGAGUAUCUAGAAUAUAUUAUUUAAUCGCUUUCAUCUUUAUUGUCCAAGCGCUCCUAUUUCUGUUGAAAAUAUAAUCAAAUUUUGGACUCCUGAUCCAUGGGCCUUGGUGUGAAGGGAGUGUUAGAGUGGGUAAAAGUUUCUCAUUGGUUGAGGGAUGGACUGGUGGUCUCGUUAUAUGGACUUGAGCAAGCCUCCCCUCAUGAGCUAGCUUUUGGGAUUGAGUUACCGUCAGUUGUGAUAUCUUCACGCAAUUUCUCUAGUUGGAAACAAGAAAAUAGAUUUUAUAUAAUAUAUAGAUUCACAUAAAAUUCUGGAUUCAACACUUGUUAGUACAACAAAAGUAGAAUAAUAUUAUUGGAAGAUAUUAAUGGGCUAGGACCUAUUCAUAUUUGAUGGACCUUUUUAAGUUACUGACUAGUGUCAGUAGACCUAUAGUAUAAAUAAUUUGAAAAAGUGUGCGUUGUAAAACAUUGAUAGAAGAAGAAUUUAGAAUCAACCUAAUGCAAUACUAAACUUAAAAAGUGUUACAUUGUGGAGUACAAAUGAAGUCCAAUGGAAGGCAAUGUGCACAUAUUUAACAAGGCCUUUUCCUUUUUUGCUUGCCUAUCCCACAAGACACGCCAUACAAACCCCACUCAUGAAAUUACACCGAUAAUGUUAUUAUUGUAGUCAAACUUUGACAAAACUUCGAAAACAAACUUUCAUGUAUAACAAGUUAUAAUCCUUGAAUCAAAGUAUAAUUUGUAAUGAAGCAAAGUAUAUGUUCUUUUACUCUCAUGUUUAUGUUAGGCAUAUGCAUUUGCAUUGUUCUGGACUUGAAAAAAAACAAACUUUAUUUCAUCUAGCAUAAUCAAAGUUCUUGUAGCGAAAAACCGCGAAAAAUGGAAAUGGAAAUGGGUCUCAAACUAACAAGAGUUGCUAAUGAAUCCUCUUCUACUGAAUUUCAAUUUGCAAAAGACAGAGCUGGCCCUCUUUUCCAGUCUACAGAAACAGACACAAUGUUCAUCCUUACUGUCCAUUUGAAAGGUAAAAUUUUUCUCUUCAUCAUCAUACACACAGUAAUUUUUUUCAUUUUCAUGUUCAUUUGUACUUACUUCUAAUAUGUAUAAACUCUGUAUAUAGGUUAUAUACAAGAAAAUAUUAAGGUUGAUAUUAAUGAAGAAGGGACUAUUAUUGCGAUAAGGGGUGAAAAAUCGGUUCAAGAAACGGUGAUGGUAGGGUGGAAAUUGAUCAAAAAAGAUGUAGAAGUUAGAAAAUUUAGUAAGGCUUUCAAGAUUCCAGAUGGGGUUAUCUUGGAUGAAAUUAAGGCUAGAUUUGAUGAUGAAAUAUCCAUAUUGACAAUUAAAAUGCCAAAGAAAGUAAAAGGGAUUCUUGGAAUUGAAUUUGUUGAAGUGAAGGAACAUGAGGAAUUGCCAAUUGUAGCUAACAAAAUUUCUAAAAAAGUCACAUUUAAAGAAGAUAUGGAUAAGCCAAAAGCAGAGGAAAAUCAAGGAAAACCACGUGAAGUAGUCCAAAAACAUGUUGUUAAGGAUGAAAUGAUGCCAAAUGAAGACUCAAAACAUGUUGUUAAGGAUGAAAUAAUGCCAAAUGAAGACUCAAAACAUGUUGUUAAGGAUGAAAUGAUGUCAAAUGAAGACUCAAAACAUGUUAUUAAGGAUGAAACAAUGCCAAAUGUAGACUCAAACAUCCAGAACAACGAUACGAUUGAUGAAACAAGAGAGGCUCGAGGGGAUUUUGUAGGUCAUGAUAAACCUGAAUCAUCGAAUUCGAGGGAUGAACAUAAAGAUGAUCAAGCUAGUGUAACAUCAAGGAAAAGGGAAGAUGACAAUGUGCCUAAGAAGAGCUCAAAAAUUUGUGUGCCUAUUGUUGCAGGAUCAGCCUUAAUAUUAUCUCUUUUUGUGUUUGUAAUUCAUCUCAUAAGAACUAAGAAUCAAUCUGUGAAAAGAAAAGGUUAAAAGGCUAACAACAUAGUAUGAAUGUUGUUAUUUUCUAAAACCUUUUUCUUUUACUUCUUUCAUUUGAUCGUAAAAAAAGAGAGUUUGGUGAUUACUAGGUUCAAUUUGUUGUGUUGUGAGUUUGUAAUUGAGCCUAUAAAAGCAUAACAUUGUUAUGGGCACUUUGUAUCACUUUUCUUUAAGGUGCGGUGGUGGUGUGAUUAUGGUUGUUUGGUCGCUAGAUAAGAAAUAAGUUAUUUAUAUGUUAAUUUUCGUAUAACUUCUACGUCGUUUGAUAGGUAGAUAGAAAAUGAGUUAUUUAUAUAUAAAACUAAUAUGUUGUUCGGUUGGUGGUUUGAUUAUGGUUGUUUGGUAGCUAGAUAUGAAAUAAGUUAUUUAUAUGUUAAUUUUCGUAUAACUUCUACGUCGUUUGAUAGGUAGAUAGAAAAUGAGUUAUUCAUAUAUAAAACUAAUAUGAUG